rnacentral:rRNA from 1 species
UACGUAGGGGGCGAGCGUUGUCCGGAAUCAUUGGGCGUAAAGCGCGUGUAGGCGGUUCGGUAAGUCUGCUGUGAAAGUCCAGGGCUCAACCCUGGGAUGCCGGUGGAUACUGCUGAACUAGAGUGCGGAAGAGGCGAGUGGAAUUCCCGGUGUAGCGGUGAAAUGCGCAGAUAUCGGGAAGAACACCCGUGGCGAAGGCGGCUCUCUGGUACGUGACUGACGCUGAGACGCGAAAGCGUGGGGAGCAAACAGG